UCUAGGAGCUCCAGCCUCGGGAGCGUCUUGGCCAGGAGCGGCACGUAGCUCUGCUCCAGCCGUGCGGAAGCACUGAUGAGCGUUGGCAACGUGACCCAGCUCGUGACUGGCCAAAUGAGGUCUCGGGGUCCCCUUCAGUGAAAAUUACUGGAACCGUCUCCAAGCAGCUGAGGAUCCAGGCGCUGACCCACUACUUGGUGAUAUGAAGUUGCCACACAGCACUCUCCACCCAGCCUUGAUCCUGUGCCACGGUUAAGAACUGAAGCUCCAAAAAUCAGCUUUUAAAUGCUCUUCCAUCAUUCAAAAUCGUCAGUGAUUCUCCUGACUCUGAGGAGAAAAGUUAGUCUCUCCUCCACCUCCUUCCUCAUCGCCUAUUCCUCUGCCCUCUGCUGCUUCAAAGCCUGACCCCCUUCGCUGUCCUCAGUCUAGGCACUGAACCCCAGCCCAGACCCUUCACACUGACUCUGCCCUCUUUCCAGAAGAGUCUUUUGAUCUCAGCCGGCCCAGGACCUGCUUAUCUUCUUAUGUUCACAGACAGAAUGUCCCUUCAGAGCCAGCGGGAGUGUGUGCUGGAGGUUGCCAGAGGGAGCUCUCUGCCCUUACCUGCCACCCAGCCAACUCUACAUUGCUAGAUUUGACCACCAAGGCUAUAGGGUAUCAGACAACGUUCCCAGGCCACACCUGAGGCGAACAAGUCCUUUACGCUUCAGGCCCCAGAUUUACCUAGGUGACCGUCCCCAGUCCAAUCCACGUGGGAAAAUGGGGGCAGGGGUGGAAUGAGAUCUCAUUUCCCUCCUAUCUUCUUUCUCUUCCCUGACCAGCUGUUCUUCUGAAACCAUUGAUUAGACCUUGUCGGAUUCUUCUGUUCUGUUCUGUUUUGAGACAGGGUUUCAUUACGUAGUCCAGGCUGGCCUAGAACUUACUAUGUAGACCAAGCUAGCCUUGAACUUGAGAUGACUCUCCUGCCUCUAUGCCCCCACCCCACCCCUUACUUAAGAAAAGACUUUUUUGUUGUUUUCAUUUGGGGGUGGGUUGGUUGGUUGGUUGGUUGGUUGGUUGGUUGGUUGGGUUUUGGGUUUUUGGGACAUGGUUUCUUUGUGUAGCCCUGACUGUUCUGGAACUCUAGAGAUCAGGCUGGCCUUGAACUCACACCUGCCUCUGCCUCCUCGUGCUGGAAUUAAAGGCAUGCACACCGCA